GCGAGCCUGGCGGAAUUGGUAGACGCGCUGGAUUUAGGUUCCAGUGUCCUCGCGGCGUGGGGGUUCGAGUCCCCCGGCUCGCA
rnacentral:tRNA from 2 species